GCAUUGGUGGUGUAGUGGUAAGCAUAGCUGCCUUCCAAGCAGUUGGCCCGGGUUCAAUUCCUGUCCAAUGCA